AGUGGGAUAGUUGGGUCAAAUAGUGGGUUUCAUUCCCAGUUUUCCAAGGAAUCUCCAUACUGCUUUCCAUAUUGGCUUUUCUAAUUUGCAGUCCCACCAGCAAU
rnacentral:pre_miRNA from 1 species